CCAGACUCCUACGGGAGGCAGCAGUGGGGAAUAUUGCACAAUGGGGGAAACCCUGAUGCAGCGACGCCGCGUGAGUGAAGAAGUAUUUCGGUAUGUAAAGCUCUAUCAGCAGGGAAGAAAAUGACGGUACCUGAUUAAGAAGCCCCGGCUAACUACGUGCCAGCAGCCGCGGUAAUACGUAGGGGGCAAGCGUUAUCCGGAUUUACUGGGUGUAAAGGGAGCGUAGACGGCAGUGCAAGUCUGAAGUGAAAGCCCCGGGCUUAACCCGGGAAUUGCUUUGGAAACUGUACGGCUGGAGUGCCGGAGAGGUAAGCGGAAUUCCUAGUGUAGCGGUGAAAUGCGUAGAUAUUAGGAGGAGCACCAGUGGCGAAGGCGGCUUACUGGACAGUAACUGACGUUGAGGCUCGAAAGCGUGGGGAGCAAACAGGAUUAGAUACCCCCGUA
rnacentral:rRNA from 1 species